rnacentral:rRNA from 1 species
UGGGGAAUAUUGCGCAAUGGGGGGAACCCUGACGCAGCCAUGCCGCGUGAAUGAAGAAGGCCUUAGGGUUGUAAAGUUCUUUCGGUAUUGAGGAAGGUUGAUGUGUUAAUAGCACAUCAAAUUGACGUUAAAUACAGAAGAAGCACCGGCUAACUCCGUGCCAGCAGCCGCGGUAAUACGGAGGGUGCGAGCGUUAAUCGGAAUAACUGGGCGUAAAGGGCACGCAGGCGGUUAUUUAAGUGAGGUGUGAAAGCCCCGGGCUUAACCUGGGAAUUGCAUUUCAGACUGGGUAACUAGAGUACUUUAGGGAGGGGUAGAAUUCCACGUGUAGCGGUGAAAUGCGUAGAGAUGUGGAGGAAUACCGAAGGCGAAGGCAGCCCCUUGGGAAUGUACUGACGCUCAUGUGCGAAANGGNGGGGGAGCAAACAGGAUUAGAUACCCUGGUAGUCCACGCUGUAAACGCUGUCGAUUUGGGGGUUGGGGUUUAACUCUGGCGCCCGUAGCUAACGUGAUAAAUCGACCGCCUGGGGAGUACGGCCGCAAGGUUA